rnacentral:rRNA from 1 species
UAGGGAAUCUUCCGCAAUGGACGCAAGUCUGACGGAGCAACGCCGCGUGAGUGAAGAAGGAUUUCGGUUCGUAAAACUCUGUUGUUAGAGAAGAACAGCGCAUAGAGUAACUGUUAUGCGUGUGACGGUAUCUAACCAGAAAGCCACGGCUAACUACGUGCCAGCAGCCGCGGUAAUACGUAGGUGGCAAGCGUUGUCCGGAUUUAUUGGGCGUAAAGCGAGCGCAGGCGGUCAAUUAAGUCUGAUGUGAAAGCCCCCGGCUCAACCGGGGAGGGUCAUUGGAAACUUGUUGACUUGAGUGCAGAAGAGUAGAGUGGAAUUCCAUGUGUAGCGGUGAAAUGCGUAGAUAUAUGGAGGAACACCAGUGGCGAAGGCGACUCUCUGGUCUGUAACUGACGCUGAGGCUCGAAAGCGUGGGUAGCAAACAGG